AUCUGAUGAUGCUGAUGAUGAUGGUAACGACGACGAUGAUGGGGGUGAUAAACAUCGUUACCAUCAUCAUCUUCAUCGUCAUCGUCAUCGCCAUCAUUC
rnacentral:pre_miRNA from 1 species